CCAACAACAGUCAGUAGGCUCGCGUAGUACGAAUACUUCCAGCCGAAUGAAUCAGCAAAAUAAAAAUAAUUGUGCAAUGCAAACCAACAAGAGUCGGCCGCCUCGCAGCAGAAGACCGUAGAAACGCAUCUCGAAGAAAAGCGUUCCACACAAAACAACACGAGCAACAACGAUGAUAAAUUACAUAAGAUGUACGAAGACCGUUUGCGAACGUUGGACGAGUUAUCAAAAUUGAAAGAUUUGAUAAUGGAAAGGGACGCCCGAACAAUAGAAAGCCAACGACAGGAGAUUGAAAAACUAAAAUUAAAAAUUGACGAAUUGGAGACAUCAAAAAAACAGAAAUUGGCUGACGACCAAGUUUUGGUAGGUUUUAAAUUUACAUGUAUUAAUCCAUAGGUCUUCCGCGAUCGUUCUGCCAACAUUUUUUACAAAACCAAAUUUAAACCUUUUUUAAACAAGAACAUUCAAUUCGGUGUUCGAUUAUAUUCUAAAUGAAACAAAAAUUUAGGAAAAACAGAUAGGGCACUAAUUCACGCAGGGCCGACCCGAAUAUGCCCAUCUUCCGACUCAGCCUCAUUAUUUCAACUAUUUUUAAUUUUUUCCUUCUAGAGUUUGGAUUUCUGGUUUUCCAUACCUAUCUCAAUCUUGAGAAAAUUCUUGGGCAAAAUAGCAAAUAUUAUUGUACACUUCGGCGCUUCACUUCCUGCACAAAACUGACAAACGUUCUGAGUCACAGUUGUAUGACAAUGAUGAUGAAUUGCAAUAUCUGUGUCAGUGAAAAAGCACUAGGUGACCUCAUGUCCCCUAUUUCCACGGGCAGAAAAUCUUCCCACAACUUCCUAACACAUCUACGUUUGAAACACGUCGACUCCCUGAGUAAGGGGAACUCUAUUUUAGUUCUCCAGAGAUACCAAAUCAGCAAAAAAUGCCCGUCUAUCCAUAACUUGAGUAAAACUACUCCAAUUUCGAGAUGUGCGGGCCGACCUAUUUUCAAAACCCGACCCAGCCCGGCCCAGACUAAUUUUUAAUGCCCGACUCGACCCGAGAAUUUUGUAGUUAAACCCAGCCCGGCCCGACUCGGCCCGUAUUUUUUUUACUGAGCGAAAAAACCUAAAAUUGGCGCGCCUAACAAGGGGAAAUCGUUCGGUUACCUAUCGUUAUAAUAAUGUAGUCUCACAAAUCUAUCGAACACUUGAAAGUAAGCUCACGCUCGGACUCUAUUGCAAUUUUUCUU